UACGUAGGCAGCAAGCGUUGUUCGGAGUUACUGGGCGUAAAGGGUGUGUAGGCGGUUGUUUAAGUUUGGUGUGAAAUCUCCCGGCUCAACCGGGAGGGUGCGCCGAAUACUGAAUGACUAGAGUGCGGGAGAGGAAAGUGGAAUUCCUGGUGUAGCGGUGAAAUGCGUAGAUAUCAGGAGGAACACCGGUGGUGUAGACGGCUUUCUGGACCGUAACUGACGCUGAGGCGCGAAAGCGUGGGGAGCAAACAGG
rnacentral:rRNA from 1 species